rnacentral:rRNA from 1 species
GAUGAACGCUGGCGGCGUGUUUAACACAUGCAAGUCGAGCGAGAAAUCCUUCGGUUGAUUCUUCGGAAGAAAACUGAAAGAUGGAAAGCGGCGGACGGGGGAGUAACGCGUAGGCAACCUGCCCUUUGCAGAGGGAUAGCCUCGGGAAACCGGGAUUAAAACCUCAUAAUACGAAAGCAAGACAUCUUACUUUCGUCAAAGAUUUAUCGGCAAAGGAUGGGCCUGCGUCUGAUUAGUUAGUUGGUAGGGUAGCGGCCUAACAAGGCGACGAUCAGGAGCCGACCUGGGAGGGUGAUCGGCCACAUUGGAACUGAGACACGGUCCAAACUCCUACGGGAGGCAGCAGUGGAGAAUCUUGCACAAUGGGGGAAACCCUGAUGCAGCAACGCCGCGUGAAGGAAGAAGGCCCUUGGGUCGUAAACUUCUGUUCUAAGGGAAGAUAAUGACGGCACCUUAGGAGCAAGUCCCGGCUAACUACGUGCCAGCAGCCGCAGUAAGAC